rnacentral:snoRNA from 12 species
UAUUUCUGUGAUGAUAUCCUGGCUCCCUCUGCUGAACAUCAUGUGGAAGUCUGCCAUCGUUACCCAAUGUCUGUCUGAGAUA